ensembl:snRNA U2 U2 spliceosomal RNA
AUCGCUUCUCAGCCUUUUGGCUAAGAUCAAGUGUAUUAUCCUAUUCAUGAUCAUGGAUAUGAUCAUUAAUAGUAUAUUUUUCUCCAUCACAGCCUAAUUUUUUAUACUUCUCCCCUAAUGCCCUCUUUACAAAGAGGGAGGUGAAGAAAGAGAAGGAAUCUGAUCAAUACUAUUAAUCAAAUGAUCUUCUACCUUCU